AUACGGAGGGUGCAAGCGUUAAUCGGAAUUACUGGGCGUAAAGCGUACGUAGGCGGUUAUUUAAGUCAGAUGUGAAAGCCCCGGGCUUAACUUGGGAACUGCGUUUGAAACUGGGUAACUAGAGUUUAGUAGAGGGGAGUGGAAUUUCAGGUGUAGCGGUGAAAUGCGUAGAGAUCUGAAGGAACACCAGUGGCGAAGGCGACUCCCUGGACUAAAACUGACGCUGAGGUACGAAAGCGUGGGUAGCAAACAGGAUUAGAAACCCGGGUAGUCC
rnacentral:rRNA from 1 species